ACAGUGGACAUAUCCUGUACUUAUGGCAGUGGUUAUGAUACUGUCACAUCAUCACUCUGGUUUAGUCCUAAACAGAGAUCUAGGUGGAGGGAUGAGUUGAUCCCUGAGGACCUAACCACAGACCCAGGGUAUGCAGGUCGUGUGGAGUAUGUUGGAGAGAAGGAGAGAGGUCGCUCCACCCUGAGAAUCACAGAUCUGAGAAUCACAGAUCUGAGAGAGGAGGACUCUGCUGAGUACAAGUUCAUAUUCAACACACAGACAUCAAGAUGGGGACACAGUUUCCCUGGAACAACUCUGACUGUCACAGACCUGCAGGUGAAGGUGACUCCUGCCACAGAGGCAGGGAAGAGGACACUGACCUGUAUCACCACCUGUACUCUGACUGACAACCCCACCUACAUCUGGUACAAGAACGAUACCAGGGUAAGGAGGACACUUCCAGCCUGGACUCAGACUCCUUUAGUGAUGCAGACAGUUACUCCUGUGCUGUAAAAGGCUAUGAUAAUCUCUUCUCUCCUGCAGUGUGUAAGAAGUGUUGGAGUGUGACUUACACCCAUCAGAGUAUUUGUGCCUUGAAGGGGUCAACAGUGGACAUAUCCUGCUCUUACACAUAUCCCAGUUAUCAUGAGAUCAAACAAGCUUUCUGGUUUACUAAAUGGUCUGGUAUGGAGGCUGAAGAUCUGAGCUCAGUGCCAGGGUAUGAGGGUCAUAUAGAGUACCUUGGGGAUAAGGAGAGGGACUGUACUCUGAGAAUCACAGACCUGAGAUUGAGUGACUCUGCUGGGUACAGGUUCAGAUUCAUAACAUCUGGAGAAAAGUUUUCUGGCUCACCU